rnacentral:rRNA from 1 species
CAGGUCUUGACAUCCUCUGACAACCCUAGAGAUAGGGCGUUCCCCUUCGGGGGACAGAGUGACAGGUGGUGCAUGGUUGUCGUCAGCUCGUGUCGUGAGAUGUUGGGUUAAGUCCCGCAACGAGCGCAACCCUUGAUCUUAGUUGCCAGCAUUCAGUUGGGCACUCUAAGGUGACUGCCGGUGACAAACCGGAGGAAGGUGGGGAUGACGUCAAAUCAUCAUGCCCCUUAUGACCUGGGCUACACACGUGCUACAAUGGAUGGAACAAAGGGUCGCGAAGCCGCGAGGUGAAGCCAAUCCCAUAAAUCCAUUCUCAGUUCGGAUUGCAGGCUGCAACUCGCCUGCAUGAAGCCGGAAUCGCUAGU